rnacentral:rRNA from 1 species
GAACGUUAAAGACGACGACGUUGAUAGGCCGGGUGUGUAAGCGCAGCGAUGCGUUGAGCUAACCGGUACUAAUGAACCGUGAGGCUUAACCUUACAACGCCGAAGAUGUUUUGGCGAUUUGAGAGAAUUUUCAGCUCUGAUNAACCUGGGAACUGCAUUCGAAACUGGCAGGCUAGAGUCUUGUAGAGGGGGGUAGAAUUCCAGGUGUAGCGGUGAAAUGCGUAGAGAUCUGGAGGAAUACCGGUGGCGAAGGCGGCCCCCUGGACAAAGACUGACGCUCAGGUGCGAAAGCGUGGGGAGCAAACAGGAUUAGAUACCCUGGUAGUCCACGCCGUAAACGAUGUCGAUUUGGAGGUUGUGCCCUUGAGGCGUGGCUUCCGGAGCUAACGCGUUAAAUCGACCGCCUGGGGAGUACGGCCGCAAGGUUAAAACUCAAAUGAAUUGACGGGGGCCCGCACAAGCGGUGGAGCAUGUGGUUUAAUUCGAUGCAACGCGAAGAACCUUACCUGGUCUUGACAUCCACAGAACUUACCAGAGAUGCAUUGGUGCCUUCGGGAACUGUGAGACAGGUGCUGCAUGGCUGUCGUCAGCUCGUGUUGUGAAAUGUUGGGUUAAGUCCCGCAACGAGCGCAACCCUUAUCCUUUGUUGCCAGCGGUCCGGCCGGGAACUCAAAGGAGACUGCCAGUGAUAAACUGGAGGAAGGUGGGGAUGACGUCAAGUCAUCAUGGCCCUUACGACCAGGGCUACACACGUGCUACAAUGGCAUAUACAAAGAGAAGCGACCUCGCGAGAGCAAGCGGACCUCAUAAAGUAUGUCGUAGUCCGGAUUGGAGUCUGCAACUCGACUCCAUGAAGUCGGAAUCGCUAGUAAUCGUAGAUCAGAAUGCUACGGUGAAUACGUUCCCGGGCCUUGUACACACCGCCCGUCACACCAUGGGAGUGGGUUGCAAAAGAAGUAGGUAGCUUAACCUUCGGGAGGGCGCUUACCACUUUGUGAUUCAUGACUGGGGUGAAGUCGUAACAAGGUAACCGUAGGGGAACCUGCGGUUG